AACUAUAAGCGGUGGAUCACUCGGAUCAUGGGUCGAGGAAGAACGCAGCAACCUGCGCGUCAUCGUGCGAACUGCAGGACACAUGAACAUCGCCAUUUUGAACGCAUGGAGCAGUACAAGCGGUUAGGUACUUUACUUAAUUUUAUAGUGGUGCUGGGAGUCCAUGUGCUCGAGGGUCG
rnacentral:rRNA from 1 species